AACUCUGGUAUUGAUUGGUGCUUGCAUCAUGAUUUACAUUUGAGUGAGUGGCGAACUGGUGAGUAACACGUGGGAAACCUGCCCAGAAGCGGGGGAUAACACCUGGAAACAGAUGCUAAUACCGCAUAACAACUUGGACCGCAUGGUCCGAGUUUGAAAGAUGGCUUCGGCUAUCACUUUUGGAUGGUCCCGCGGCGUAUUAGCUAGAUGGUGAGGUAACGGCUCACCAUGGCAAUGAUACGUAGCCGACCUGAGAGGGUAAUCGGCCACAUUGGGACUGAGACACGGCCCAAACUCCUACGGGAGGCAGCAGUAGGGAAUCUUCCACAAUGGACGAAAGUCUGAUGGAGCAACGCCGCGUGAGUGAAGAAGGGUUUCGGCUCGUAAAACUCUGUUGUUAAAGAAGAACAUAUCUGAGAGUAACUGUUCAGGUAUUGACGGUAUUUAACCAGAAAGCCACGGCUAACUACGUGCCAGCAGCCGCGGUAAUACGUAGGUGGCAAGCGUUGUCCGGAUUUAUUGGGCGUAAAGCGAGCGCAGGCGGUUUUUUAAGUCUGAUGUGAAAGCCUUCGGCUCAACCGAAGAAGUGCAUCGGAAACUGGGAAACUUGAGUGCAGAAGAGGACAGUGGAACUCCAUGUGUAGCGGUGAAAUGCGUAGAUAUAUGGAAGAACACCAGUGGCGAAGGCGGCUGUCUGGUCUGUAACUGACGCUGAGGCUCGAAAGUAUGGGUAGCAAACAGGAUUAGAUACCCUGGUAGUCCAUACCGUAAACGAUGAAUGCUAAGUGUUGGAGGGUUUCCGCCCUUCAGUGCUGCAGCUAACGCAUUAAGCAUUCCGCCUGGGGAGUACGGCCGCAAGGCUGAAACUCAAAGGAAUUGACGGGGGCCCGCACAAGCGGUGGAGCAUGUGGUUUAAUUCGAAGCUACGCGAAGAACCUUACCAGGUCUUGACAUACUAUGCAAAUCUAAGAGAUUAGACGUUCCCUUCGGGGACAUGGAUACAGGUGGUGCAUGGUUGUCGUCAGCUCGUGUCGUGAGAUGUUGGGUUAAGUCCCGCAACGAGCGCAACCCUUAUUAUCAGUUGCCAGCAUUAAGUUGGGCACUCUGGUGAGACUGCCGGUGACAAACCGGAGGAAGGUGGGGAUGACGUCAAAUCAUCAUGCCCCUUAUGACCUGGGCUACACACGUGCUACAAUGGAUGGUACAACGAGUUGCGAACUCGCGAGAGUAAGCUAAUCUCUUAAAGCCAUUCUCAGUUCGGAUUGUAGGCUGCAACUCGCCUACAUGAAGUCGGAAUCGCUAGUAAUCGCGGAUCAGCAUGCCGCGGUGAAUACGUUCCCGGGCCUUGUACACACCGCCCGUCACACCAUGAGAGUUUGUAACACCCAAAGUCGGUGGGGUAA
rnacentral:rRNA from 2 species